AUUAUAUGAUUUAAUUGUGUGUUUUGAUCAUGAGAUGAUUUAUCCAUUGCUGUGGAUGCGUGGUGGCAUGCUUGAAGAACACCAACAUAGUGUGCAAGGUUUGUGGCUUCAUGGGUGGCUCAAGAUUUGGCUUUUUAAUUUGCAAUUGUUGCAUGAUCUAAAAGCUCAUCCUAUGUCUAAUUAAAUUGUUUAAUUAGAAUUUUAAUCAUACAAUUAAAUUUUGAUUCAAAUCAAAAUUUUAAAAAUUGUUUGAAUG
rnacentral:misc_RNA from 1 species